UGGUUCCCCAUCAUGGGCAGGCGGUGGUGUGAGUGGACAGAGACCAUCCGUGUGGAGGAGGAAGUAGCACCCCGUCAGGAGGACCUGGUACCCUGUGCCAGCCUCUACCAUUACAGCCGCCUGGGCUGGCGGCUGGACCUUCCCUGGAGUGGCCACGCAGGGCUUACCCGCUCCCCAGUGCCUGGGCUCUGUCCUAUCUACAAACCUCCAGAAACCCGGCCUGCCAAGUGGAACCGGACAGUGAGGGCUUGUUGCCCAGGCUGGGGGGGCGCCCACUGCACUGAGGCCCUUGCCAAAGCCAGUCCUGAAGGCCACUGCUUUGCCAUGCGGCAGUGCCAGCUACAGGCAGGCUCAACUAAUGCCUCAGCAGGAAGCCUGGAGGAGUGCUGCGCCUGGCCCUGGGGACGAAGCUGGCAGGAUGGCAGCUCCCAGGCCUGCUUCAGCUGCUCCAGCCAACACCUGCCAGGCAGUGCCUCUUCUCCAGCCCUCCUGCAGCCCCUGGCAGGGGCCGUGGGCCAGCUCUGGAGCCAGCACCAGCAUCCCUCUGCCACCUGUGCCUCGUGGUCGGGCUUCCACUACCGCACCUUUGACGGCCGCCACUAUCACUUCCUGGGCCGCUGCACCUACCUGCUGGCGGGUGCUGCGGACUCCACCUGGGCUGUCCACCUAACACCCGGGGACCGCUGCCCCCAGCCUGGACUCUGUCAGCUGGUCCAGGUGACUAUGGGACCCGAGGAGGUGCUGAUCCAGGCUGGAAAUGUGUCUGUGAAGGGGCAGCUGGUACCUGAAGGGCAGUCUUGGCUGCUCCACGGGCUGAGCCUGCAAUGGCUGGGGGACUGGCUGGUGCUGUCAGGGGGCCUGGGGGUCGUGGUGCGGCUGGACAGGGCUGGCUCUAUCUCCAUCUCUGUGGACCACGAGCUCUGGGGACAGACGCAAGGCCUCUGUGGGUUCUACAAUGGUUGGCCAGAGGAUGACUUCGUGGAGCCAGGCGGAGGGCUUGCCAUGUUAGCAGCCAACUUUGGAAAUUCCUGGAGGCUCCCUGACUCGGAGCCUGGGUGUCUGGAUGCGGUGGAGGUGGCCCAGGGCUGUGACGGCCCCCUGGGGCUCACAGAGGCAGAUGUAGAACCUGACCACCUGCGGGCUGAAGCCCAGGACGUGUGCCAUCAGCUGCUGGAAGGUCCAUUCGGGCAGUGCCAUGCCCAGGUUUCCCCUGCUGAGUACCACGAGGCCUGUCUCUUUGCCUACUGUGCAGGGGCCAUGGCAGGCAGCGGGCAAGAGGGGCGGCAGCAGGCUGUGUGUGCCACCUUUGCCAGCUAUGCCCAGGCCUGUGCCAGGCGGCACAUCCACAUUCGCUGGAGGAAGCCUGGCUUCUGCGAGCGCCUGUGCCCCGGGGGCCAGCUCUACUCUGACUGCGUCUCCCUCUGCCCACCCAGCUGUGAGGCGGUGGGUCAGGGAGAGGAGGAGUCCUGCAGGGAAGAGUGUGUGAGUGGCUGUGAGUGUCCGCGAGGCCUCUUCUGGAACAGCACCCUCUGUGUGCCUGCUGCCCACUGCCCCUGCUACUACCGCCGCCAGCGCUAUGCACCCAGUGACACCGUGCACCAGCUGUGUAACCCCUGCGUGUGCAGGGAUGGCCGCUGGCACUGUGCCCAGGCCCUAUGCCCCGCCGAGUGUGCCGUGGGCGGGGACGGGCACUACCUCACCUUCGAUGGGCGGAGCUACUCCUUCCGGGGUGGUCAAGGUUGCCACUACAGCCUGGUGCAGGACUAUGUGAAGGGACAGCUACUGAUCCUACUGGAGCAUGGGGCCUGCGAUGCUGGGAGCUGCCUCCACGCCAUCUCCAUCUCCCUGGAGGACACCCACAUCCAGCUCAGGGACUCAGGAGCUGUGCUGGUCAAUGGGCAGGAUGUGGGCUUGCCCUGGAUUGGCGCUGAGGGCCUCAGUGUGCGCCGAGCUUUCUCCGCCUUUCUGCUGCUGCGCUGGCCUGGGGCCCAGGUGCUCUGGGGACUGUCUGACCCUGCAGCCUACAUCACCCUGGACCCCCGCCAUGCCCACCAGGUGCAGGGUCUGUGUGGCACCUUCACCCAGAACCAGCAGGACGACUUCCUGACACCAGCCAGAGAUGUGGAAACUAGCGUUGCUGCCUUUGCUAGCAAGUUCCAGAUGGCCGGCAAGGGAAGAUGCCCCUCUGGGGACAGUGCCCUGCUCUCUCCCUGCACCACCCACUCCCAGCGCCACGCCUUCGCAGAGGCGGCCUGUGCCAUCCUGCACAGCUCUGUCUUCCAGGAAUGCCACAGGCUGGUGGACAAGGAGCCAUUCUAUGUGCGCUGCCUGGCAGCUGUGUGUGGCUGUGACCCUGGCAGGGACUGCCUGUGCCCGGUGCUAUCUGCCUAUGCGCCUCGCUGUGCCCAGGAAGGUGCCUCACCUCCCUGGAGGAACCAGACCCUCUGCCCUGUUAUGUGUCCUGGUGGCCAGGAGUCCCGAGAGUGUGCCCCAGCAUGCGGUCAACACUGCGGGGAACCAGAGGACUGUAGAGAGCUGGGCAGCUGUGUGGCUGGUUGUAACUGUCCUCUGGGGCUGCUGUGGGACCCUGAGGGCCAGUGUGUGCCCCCCAGCUUGUGCCCCUGCCAGCUCGGAGCCCGUCGCUAUGCCCCUGGCAGUGCCACCAUGAAGGAGUGCAACCGCUGCAUCUGCCAGGAAAGAGGCCUCUGGAAUUGCACGGCUCGCCACUGCCCUCCACAGCAGGCAUUCUGCCCCAGGGAGCUUGUCUAUGCCCCUGGUGCCUGUCUCCUCACCUGUGACAGCCCCAGCGCCAAUCACUCCUGCCCUGCAGGCAGUGCUGAUGGCUGUGUCUGUCCACCAGGCACGGUGCUACUCGACGAGCGCUGUGUGCCUCCUGACCUCUGUCCCUGCCGUCACAGUGGGCAGUGGUACCUGCCCAACGCCACCAUCCAGGAAGACUGCAACGUUUGCGUGUGCUGGGGCCGGCAGUGGCACUGCACAGGCCAGCAGUGCAGUGGGCAGUGCCAGGCGUCAGGCGCCCCCCACUAUGUGACAUUUGACGGACUGGCCUUCACCUUUCCUGGGGCCUGCGAGUAUCUGCUGGUGCGAGAGGCCAGCGGCCUAUUCACAGUCUCUGCCCAGAACCUGCCCUGUGGGGCCAGCGGUCUCACCUGCACCAAAGCGCUGGCCGUGCGUCUGGAGGGCACCGUUGUGCACAUGCUCAGAGGCCGGGCAGUGACAGUGAAUGGGGUGAGCGUGAUGCCCCCCAAGGUCUACACAGGCCCCGGGCUGAGCCUGCGUCGUGCUGGCCUCUUCCUGCUGCUCUCGACCCGCCUGGGCCUCACCCUGCUCUGGGAUGGAGGGACUCGGGUCCUGGUGCAACUGUCCCCUCAGUUCCGUGGUCGCGUGGCCGGGCUGUGUGGUGACUUUGAUGGAGAUGCCAGUAAUGAUCUGCGGAGCCGCCAGGGCGUCCUGGAGCCCACAGCUGAACUGGCUGCCCACUCCUGGCGCCUCAGCCCCCUCUGCCCUGAGCCAGGAGACCUGCCACAUCCCUGCACGGUGAACACACAGCGGGCUGGCUGGGCUCGGGCCCGCUGCGGGGCACUGCUGCAGCCGCUCUUCGCAUCAUGCCAUGCGGAGGUCCCCCCGCAGCAGCACUAUGAGUGGUGCCUGUAUGACGCCUGCGGCUGCGACUCAGGGGGUGACUGUGAGUGCCUCUGCUCGGCCAUCGCCACCUACGCAGAUGAAUGUGCCCGGCAUGGGCACCACGUGCGCUGGCGUAGCCAGGAGCUCUGCCCCCUGCAGUGUGAAGGGGGACAGGUAUAUGAGGCCUGUGGCCCCACGUGUCCCCCCACCUGCCAUGAGCAGCAUCCUGAGCCCGGGUGGCACUGCCAGGUGGUGGCCUGUGUGGAGGGCUGCUUCUGCCCCGAGGGGACUCUGCUGCAUGGAGGAGCCUGCUUGGAGCCAGCUUCCUGCCCCUGUGAGUGGGGCCACAACUCCUUCCCGCCGGGGUCUGUGCUGCAGAAGGACUGCGGGAACUGCACAUGCCAGGAAGGUCAAUGGCAUUGUGGGGGUGACGGUGGCCACUGUGAGGAACUUGUGCCUGCCUGCACAGAGGGAGAGGCCCUAUGCCGAGAAAAUGGGCACUGUGUGCCCCAUGGGUGGCUUUGUGACAACCAGGACGACUGUGGUGAUGGCUCUGAUGAGGAGGGUUGUGCCACCCCAGGCUCUGGGGAGGGGCAGAUGACUUGCAGCUCCGGCCACUGCCUGCCCCUGGCCCUGCUCUGUGACGGCCAGGAUGACUGUGGAGAUGGCACGGAUGAGCAGGGCUGCCCGUGCCCCCAGGGCUUGCUGGCCUGUGCUGAUGGACGCUGCCUGCCCCCGGCCCUGCUCUGCGAUGGGCAUCCUGACUGUCCAGACGCCGCCGACGAGGAGUCCUGUCUGGGGCAGGUGACCUGCGUCCCCGGGGAGGUGUCCUGUGUCGAUGGCACCUGCCUGGGGGCCAUCCAGCUGUGUGACGGAGUCUGGGACUGCCCAGAUGGAGCUGAUGAGGGGCCCGUACACUGCCCCCUACCUUCACUGCCCACGCCUCCUGCCGGCACCUUGCCUGGCCCCUCCCCUGGCUCCCUGGACACUGCGUCAAGUCCCCUGGCCAGCGCCAGCCCUGCGCCGCCCUGCGGCCCCUUGGAGUUUCGGUGCGGCAGCGGCGAGUGCACCCCGCGGGGCUGGCGCUGCAACCAGGAGGAAGACUGCGCCGACGGCAGCGACGAGCGCGGCUGCGGAGAGCCCUGCGCGCCGCACCACGCGCCCUGCGCCCGCGGCCCUCACUGCGUAUCCCCCGAGCAGCUGUGCGACGGCGUGCGGCAGUGUCCCGACGGCUCGGACGAGGGCCCCGACGUCUGCGAGAGCUGUCACAGGCCCCAGCUCCUCCCAGGCUGGCCUGUCUGGCCGCCUCCCACCUGCCUUCCUGCCCCUCUGCAGGGAGAGGGCAGGAAGGGACAGGAGCAGAGCAGGACACAUCUCACGGUGCCCGCAGGCUCCACCCAGCUGCCUCCGUGCCCUGGCCUCUUUCCCUGUGGCGUGGCUCCGGGGCUGUGCCUGACCCCUGAGCAGCUCUGUGACGGGAUCCCAGACUGUCCCCAGGGCGAGGACGAGCUGGACUGCGGGGGGCUGCCAGCCCUGGGAGGCCCCAACAGGAUAGGGCUUCCCUGCCCAGAAUACACCUGCCCCAAUGGCACCUGCAUAGGCUUCCAGCUGGUGUGUGACGGGCAGCCUGACUGUGGAGGGCCAGGGCAGGUGGGACCCUCCCCAGAAGAGCAGGGUUGUGGGGUCUGGGGCCUCUGGAGCCCAUGGGGGCCCUGCAGCCGGACAUGUGGGCCCGGGGGGCAGGGCCGGAGCCGCCACUGCUCCCCACUCGGCCUCCUGGUGCUACAGAACUGCCCAGGGCCUGAGCACCAGUCUCAAGCCUGCUUCACGGCAGCCUGCCCAGUGGACGGUGAAUGGAGCGCCUGGUCCCCCUGGUCUGUGUGCUCUGAGCCGUGCAGGGGCACUAUGACGCGGCAGCGGCAGUGCCACCCACCCCAGAAUGGGGGCCGCACCUGCGCUGCACUGCCCGGAGGCCCGCACAGCACCCGCCAGACCAAGCCUUGCCCUCAGGACGGCUGCCCCAAUGCCACCUGCUCUGGGGAGCUGAUGUUCCAGCCCUGUGCCCCCUGCCAACUGACCUGUGAUGACAUCUCUGGCCAGGUCAUGUGCCCACCUGAUUGGCCCUGCGGCAGCCCGGGCUGCUGGUGCCCAGAAGGGCAGGUGCUGGGCAGCGAGGGGCGGUGUGUGUGGCCCCGGCAGUGCCCCUGCCUGGUGGAUGGCACCCGCUACUGGCCCGGGCAACGCAUCAAGGCCGACUGCUGGCUCUGCAUCUGCCAAGACGGACGGCCCCGACGCUGCCGACUCAACCCGGACUGUGCUGUGGACUGUGGCUGGUCCUCCUGGUCACCCUGGGCUGAGUGCCUGGGCCCCUGUGGAAGCCAGAGCAUCCAGUGGUCCUUCCGGAGCCCCAACAACCCCCGCCCCUCCGGCCGAGGUCGCCAGUGCCGUGGCAUCCACCGCAAGGCACGCAGGUGCCAGACGGAGCCCUGUGAGGGGUGUGAGCAUCAGGGCCAGGUUCACCGUGUCGGGGAACGCUGGCGUGGGGGCCCCUGCAGGGUGUGCCAGUGUCUGCACAACCUCACCGCACGCUGCUCACCCUACUGCCCGCUUGGCAGCUGCCCCCAGGGCUGGGUCUUGGUGGAGGGGACGGGAGAAUCAUGCUGCCACUGUGCCCUACCUGGAGAGAACCAGACAGUCCAGCCCAUGGCCACUCCUGCCGCAGCUCCAGCUCCCAGUCCCCAGAUCAGAUUCCCUUUGGCCACUUACAUUCUGCCUCCACGAGGAGACCCCUGCUAUUCUCCCCUGGGACUAGCUGGACUGGCUGAGGGGAGUCUGCAUGCAUCAUCCCAGCAGCUGGAAAACCCCACCCAGGCUACCUUCCUGGGGGCUCCCACCCAGGGGCCUGGCCCUCAGAGACGGCACGCUGGAGGGGAUGCUUAUGCCAAGUGGCACACUCAGCCCCAUUACCUGCAGCUGGACCUGCUUCAGCCCCGGAACCUCACUGGCAUCAUAGUGCCGGAGACUGGCUCCUCCAACGCAUAUGCCACCAGCUUCUCACUCCAGUUCAGCAGCAAUGGUCUACACUGGCAUGACUAGCAUGACAUCCUGCCUGGCAUCUUGCCCCUGCCCAAGCUUUUCCCCAGAAACUGGGAUGACCUGGACCCUGCCGUAUGGACUUUCAGCCAGAUGGUGCAGGCGAGGUUUGUCAGGGUGUGGCCCCACGAUGUCCACCACAGCGAUGUCCCCCUGCAGGUGGAGCUGCUGGGCUGCGAGCCAGGGUCCCCACCGGCACCUCUGUGCCCAGGGGUUGGACUCCGCUGUGCCAGUGGUGAGUGUGUCCUGAGAGGGGGCCCGUGCGACGGUGUUCUGGACUGCGAGGAUGGCUCGGACGAGGAGGGCUGUGUAUUGCUGCCUGAGGGCACUGGCAGAUUCCAUUCCACAGCCAAGACCCUGGCGCUCUCCUCCGCCCAGCUGGGGCAGCUGCCGCACUGGCCCAGGGAGGGCCUGGCAGAGACUGAGCACUGGCCUCCUGGGCAGGAAUCCCCCACGUCCCCGACAGAGACAAGGCCCGUGAGUCCUGGCCCAGCCUCCGGCGUGCCUCACCCUGGGGAAUCUGUGCAGAUGGUGACCACCACCCCCAUAUCCCAGAUGGAGGCAAGGACCGUGCCACCAGGUAUGGCAGCUGUGACGGUGCUGCCCCCACAUCCUGUGACUCCAGCGACCCCUGCUGGCCAGAGCGUCGCCCCAGGGCCCUUCUCACCUGUGCAGUGUGGCCCCGGCCAGACGCCCUGUGAGGUGCUGGGCUGCGUGGAACAGGCGCAGGUGUGUGAUGGCAGGGAGGAUUGCCUCGACGGCUCCGACGAGAGGCACUGUGCAAGCACUGUGCCCUUCACGGUGCCUACCAUGGCCCUGCCUGGGCUUCCAGCCUCAAGGGCCCUCUGUUCCCCGAGCCAGCUGAGCUGUAGCAGCGGGGAGUGUCUGUCUGCUGAGCGGCGCUGUGACCUGCGGCCUGACUGCCGGGAUGGCUCGGAUGAGGAUGGCUGUGUGGACUGCGUGCUGGCCCCCUGGUCUGUCUGGAGCAGCUGCAGCCGCAGCUGUGGCCUGGGCCUCACCUUCCAGCGCCAGGAGCUGCUGCGGCCUCCUCUGCCAGGGGGCAGCUGCCUGCGUGACCGGUUCCGAAGCCAGUCCUGCUUCGUGCAGGCCUGCCCAGUGGCUGGGGCAUGGGCCACGUGGGAGGCCUGGGGACCCUGCAGCGUCUUCUGCGGGGGUGGCCAUCAGAGUCGCCGGAGAAGCUGUGUGGACCCACCACCCAAGAAUGGCGGUGCCCCCUGCCCUGGGGCCUCCCAAGAGAGGGCACCCUGCGGCUUGCAGCCCUGCUCAGGUGGUACAGACUGCGAGCUGGGCCAUGUGUAUGUGGGGGCCGAUCUGUGCCAGAAGGGGCUGGUGCCCACCCUCCUGCCUGGAUCCCAAGGCCAACAGAAACUGCAGUGGGCAUUGUGUGGAAGGAUGCCGCUGUCCCGCGGGGCUCCUUCUGCAUGACACUCGCUGCCUGCCCCUCUCUGAGUGCCCCUGCCUGGUGGGCGAAGAGCUGAAGUGGCCAGGGGUGUCUUUCCUCCUGGGCAACUGCAGCCAAUGCAUGUGUGAGAAGGGGGAGUUGCUGUGCCAACCAGGGGGCUGCCCCUUGCCCUGCGGCUGGUCAGCCUGGUCCUCCUGGGCUCCCUGCGACCGCUCCUGUGGCUCUGGAGUGAGGGCCAGGUUCAGGUCUCCCUCCAACCCUCCGGCAGCCUGGGGGGGUGCCCCGUGUGAAGGUGACCGGCAGGAACUGCAGGGCUGCCACACAGAGUGUGGGACAGAGGUGCUGGGCUGGACGCCCUGGACUUCCUGGUCCUCCUGCUCCCAGAGCUGCCUUGCCCCUGGAGGAGGCCCUGGCUGGCGCAGUCGUUCCCGGCUCUGCCCCAGCCCUGGGGAUUCAUCCUGCCCAGGAGAGGCCACCCAGGAGGAGCCCUGCAGUCCCCCUGUAUGCCCAGUGUCAAGCGUCUGGGGUCUGUGGGCUCCCUGGUCCACUUGCUCAGCCCCCUGUGAUGGAGGCAUCCAGACACGCGGGCGCAGCUGCUCCAGCUUGGCUCCAGGGGAUACCAUGUGCCCAGGACCCCACAGUCAGACCAGGGACUGCAACACGCAGCCCUGCACAGCCCAGUGCCCAGAGAACAUGGUGUUCCGCUCAGCAGAGCAGUGUCGCCAGGAGGGGGGUCCUUGCCCUCGGCUGUGCCUGACGCAGGGCCCUGGGAUAGAGUGUACGGGCUUCUGCGCCCCUGGCUGCACCUGCCCCCCUGGGCUCUUCCUGCACAAUGCUAGCUGCCUGCCCCGCAAUCAGUGCCCCUGCCAGCUGCACGGGCAGCUCUACGCAUCAGGAGCAAUGGCUCGCCUAGACUCCUGCAACAACUGCACCUGUGUCUCCGGUGAGAUGGCAUGCACCUCGGAGCGCUGCCCAGUGGCCUGUGGCUGGAGUCCCUGGACCCCGUGGAGUCUCUGUAGCCGCAGCUGCAACGUGGGCAUUCGGCGCCGCUUCUGGGCAGGCACUGCACCCCCAGCUGCCUUUGGGGGUGCUGAGUGCCAAGGCCCUACCAUGGAGGCUGAAUUCUGCAGCCUGUGGCCAUGUCGAGGUCCUGGUGGGGAGUGGGGCCCUUGGUCUCCGUGCUCCGUGCCCUGUGGUGGUGGCUACAGGAAUCGCACCCGAGGCAGCGGCCUGCGCAGCCCCAUGGAGUUCUCCACCUGUGGUCUGCAGCCCUGCGCAGGGCCAGUGCCUGGCAUGUGUCCCAGGGACAAGCAGUGGCUGGACUGUGCCCAGGGCCCUGCCUCUUGUGCAGAGCUCAGUGCCCCAAGAGGGGCUAACCAGACCUGCCACCCUGGCUGCCACUGCCCCUCCGGGAUGCUCCUGCUGAACAACGUGUGUGUGCCCAUCCAGGACUGCCCCUGUGCCCACGAGGGGCACCUCUACCCCCCAGGCAGCACUGUGGUUCGUCCAUGUGAAAACUGCUCCUGUGUCUCCGGGCUGAUCGCCAACUGCAGCGCCUGGCCUUGUGCGGAGGGUGAGCCCACGUGGUCACCCUGGACCCCUUGGAGCCAGUGUUCAGCCUCCUGUGGCCCUGCCCGGCGCCAUCGGCACCGGUUCUGUGCCAGGCCCCCCAGUGCAGCGCCAUCCACCGUGGCUCUGCUGCCCCUGCCAGCCACCCCCACACCUCUCUGCUCAGGCCCCGAGGCUGAGGAGGAGCCAUGUCUCCUGCAGGGGUGUGAUCGAGCUGGGGGAUGGGGUCCAUGGGGGCCCUGGUCCCACUGUAGCCGGAGCUGUGGGGGAGGCCUGCAGAGCCGGACCCGGGCCUGUGACCAGCCCCCACCCCAGGGCCUGGGGGAUUACUGCGAGGGGCCACGGGCACAGGGGGAGGUCUGCCAGGCUCUGCCCUGCCCAGUGACCAACUGCACCGCCAUUGAAGGGGCCGAGUAUAGCCCCUGUGGCCCUCCGUGCCCUCGUUCCUGUGAUGACCUAGUGCACUGCGUGUGGCGCUGCCAGCCUGGCUGCUACUGCCCACCAGGCCAGGUACUGAGUUCCAAUGGGGCCAUCUGUGUGCAGCUGGGUCACUGCAGCUGCCUGGACCUGCUGACCAGGCAGCGGCACCAUCCGGGUGCUCGGCUGGCAAGGCCUGACGGCUGCAACCACUGCACCUGCCUGGAGGGGAGGCUGAACUGCACAGACCUGCCCUGCCCAGUGCCCGGAGGCUGGUGCCCAUGGUCGGAGUGGACAGUGUGCUCCUAGCCCUGCAGGGGCCAGACCAGGAGCCGCUCCAGGGCCUGUGCCUGCCCCACUCCUCAGCACGGUGGUGCCCUGUGUACUGGAGAGGCUGGGGAGGCAGGGGCCCAGCAUCAGAGGGAGGCCUGCCCCAGCUACGCCACGUGCCCAGUGGAUGGAGCCUGGGGACCAUGGGGGCCAUGGUCUCCCUGCGACAUGUGCUUGGGGCAGUCCCACCGGAGCCGGGCAUGCAGCCGGCCCCCUACCCCUGAGGGAGGGAGGCCCUGCCCUGGGAGCCACACGCAGAGUCGCCCUUGCCAGGAAAAUUCCACCCAGUGCACAGACUGCGGGGGUGGCCAGAGUCUGCACCCCUGUGGGCAGCCCUGCCCCCGCUCCUGCCAGGACCUGUCCCCUGGGAGUGUGUGCCAGCCAGGCUCUGUGGGCUGCCAGCCCAGUUGUGGGUGCCCCCUGGGCCGGCUUUCCCAGGAUGGGCUGUGCGUGCCCCCAGCCCACUGCCGCUGCCAGUACCAGCCUGGAGCCAUGCGGAUCCCUGAGAACCAGAGCCGCUCAGCAGGGUCUAGGUUUAGCUCCUGGGAGAGCCUGGAACCUGGAGAGGUGGUCACUGGGCCGUGUGACAACUGCACCUGUGUGGCAGGCAUUCUGCAAUGCCAGGAGGUACCCGGCUGCCCGGACCCUGGGGUGUGGAGCUCUUGGGGUCCUUGGGAAGACUGCAGUGUUUCGUGUGGGGGCGGGGAGCAGCUGCGCUCCCGGCGCUGUGCCCAUCCUCCCUGCCCAGGGCCUGCCCGCCAGAGCCGCACAUGCAGCACACAGGUCUGCAGAGAGGCAGGCUGCCCGGCCGGCCGCCUGUACCGCGAAUGCCAGCCCGGCGAGGGAUGCCCCUUCUCCUGCACCCACGUCACGCAGCAGGUGGGCUGCCACUGCCCCGAGGGCACCUUCCAGCACCGCCUGGCCUGUGUGCAGGAGUGCCCUUGUGUGCUGACAGCCUGGCUGCUGCAGGAGCUGGGAGCCACCAUAGGUGACCCUGGUCAGCCCCUCAGGCCUAGAGAUGAGCUGGGCUCGGGCCAGACACUUCAUACAAGCUGUGGCAACCGCUCCUGUGCACACGGGAAGCUGUCUUGCUCCCUGGAGGACUGCUUCGAGGCCGAUGGUGGUUUCGGUCCCUGGAGCCCGUGGGGCCCGUGCUCCCGCUCCUGUGGUGGGCUGGGCACCUGUACCCGCAGCCGCCAGUGUGUGCUCACCAUGCCCACCCCCAGUGGUGGUCAGGGCUGCCGUGGGCCCCGCCAGGACCUCGAGUACUGCCCCAGCCCAGACUGCCCUGGGGCUGAAGGGUCCACGGUGGAGCCAGUGACAGGCCUUCCAGCUGACUGGGGCCCAUGGUCCUCCUGGUCCCCCUGCUCCAGAAGCUGCACGGACCCCGCUCGCCCUGCAUGGCGCAGCCGCACCCGCCUCUGCCUGGCUAACUGCACCAUGGGGGACCCAUUACAGGAGCGCCCCUGCAACCUGCCUUCAUGCACAGAGCUGCCCGUGUGCCCUGGCCCUGGCUGUGGGGCUGGGAACUGUUCCUGGACCUCCUGGGCCCUGUGGGAACCUUGCUCCCGCAGCUGCGGGGUGGGCCAGCAGCGCCGCCUGCGGGCAUACCGUCCCCCUGGGCCCAGCGGGCACUGGUGCCCCGACAUCCUUACUGCCUACCAAGAGCGCUGCUUCUGCAACCUGCGAGCCUGUCCAGUGCCCGGGGGCUGGUCACACUGGAGUCCCUGGUCCUGGUGUGACCGCAGCUGUGGGGGAGGCCAAUCCCUGAGAAGCCGCAGCUGCUCGAGCCCCCCAUCCAAGAACGGGGGUGCCCCCUGCACUGGGGAGCGGCACCAGGCCCGCCUCUGCAAUCCCAUGCCUUGUGAGGCCGGCUGCCCAGCAGGCAUGGAGGUCGUCACCUGUGCCAACCGCUGCCCCCGCCGCUGCUCAGACCUCCAGGAGGGAAUUGUGUGUCAGGAUGACCAGGUCUGCCAGAAGGGCUGCCGCUGCCCAAAGGGGUCCCUGGAGCAGGAUGGCGGCUGCGUGCCAGUUGGGCACUGUGACUGCACCGAUGCCCAGGGCCACAGCUGGGCCCCAGGGAGCCAGCACCAGGAUGCCUGCAACAACUGCUCAUGCCAAGCUGGUCAGCUCUCCUGCACGGCUCAGCCCUGCCCGCCUCCCACCCACUGUGCCUGGAGCCGCUGGUCGGCCUGGAGUCCCUGCAGCCACUCAUGCGGGCCCGGAGGGCAGCAGAGCCGCUUCCGGUCCUCCACGUCCGGCUCGUGGGCCCCAGAGUGUCGGGAGGAGCAGUCCCAGAGCCAGCCCUGCCCUCAGCCCUUGUGCCCACCCCUGUGCCUGCAGGGCACUCGCUCCCGCACCCUGGGGGACAGCUGGCUGCGGGGGGAGUGCCAGCAGUGCUCCUGCACCCCGGAGGGUGUGAUCUGCGAAGACACGGAGUGUGCAGUGCCUGAGGCUUGGACGCUGUGGUCCUCCUGGUCCGACUGCCCUGUCUCCUGUGGAGGUGGAAACCAGGUCCGAACCCGGGCCUGCAGGGCCGCAGCCCCUCACCACAGGAGCCCACUCUGCCUGGGCCCUGACACCCAGACCCAGCCCUGUGGGCAGCAGCCUUGCCCAGGGCUGCUGGAGGCCUGCUCCUGGGGCCCAUGGGGGACCUGUUCCCGCAGCUGCGGCCCGGGCCUGGCCUCUCGCUCUGGGUCCUGCCCCUGCCUGAUGGCCAAGGCCGACCCCACCUGCAACGGCACCUUCCUCCACCUGGACACCCAGGGCUGCUACCUAGGGCCCUGCCCUGAGGAGUGUGUGUGGAGCAGCUGGAGCAGCUGGACGCGCUGCUCUUGCCGGGUGCUGGUGCAGCAGCGCUACCGACACCAGGCCCCAGCGUCCCGAGGGGCCAGGGCAGAUGCCCCCUGCACGCGGCUGGAUGGCCGCUUCCGGCCUUGCCUUAUCAGCAACUGCUCUGAGGACAGCUGCACGCCUCCCUUUGAGUUCCAUGCCUGCGGCUCCCCCAGUGCUGGGCUCUGUGCCACACACCUGAGCCAUCAGCUCUGCCAGUACCUGCCGCCCUGCCAGCCGGGCUGCUACUGCCCCAAGGGGCUGCUGGAGCAGGCUGGGGGCUGCAUUCCCCCGGAGCAGUGUAACUGCUGGCAUACAUCAGCAGUGGGAGCCAGGAUGACCCUGGCCCCUGGGGACCGCCUGCAGCUGGGCUGUAAGGAGUGUGAAUGCCGGCAUGGGGAGCUGCACUGCACCAGCCAGGGCUGCCAAGGUCUUCUGCCUCUGAGUGAGUGGUCCGAGUGGUCGCCCUGUGGGCCCUGCCUGCCGCCCAGCGCCCUGGCCCCUGCCUCCAGGAUUGCCCUAGAGGAGCGCUGGCUCCGAGACCCAACCGGCCUCUCCCCUACCUCGGCCCCGCUGCUGGCUUCAGAGCAGCACCGCCACCGGCUCUGUCUGGAUCCUGCGACAGGGAGGCCCUGGACUGGAGCCCCUCACCUCUGCACUGCGUCCCUCAGCCAGCAGCGCCUCUGCCCUGACCCUGGAGUCUGCCCUGACUCAUGCCAGUGGAGUCUGUGGGGGCCAUGGAGCCCCUGCCAGGUGCCCUGCAGUGGGGGGUUCAGGCUACGCUGGAGAGAGGCAGAGGUCCCCCCGGGAGGAGGCUGCCGGGGGCCAUGGGCUCAGACAGAAAGCUGCAACAGAGGGCCCUGCCCAGGCGAGAGCUGCGAGGCCCGAGACACUGUAUUCACCCUGGACUGUGCCAACCAGUGCCCACGCAGCUGUGUCGACCUCUGGGACCGUGUUCAGUGUCUGCAGGGACCCUGCCGCCCAGGCUGCCGCUGUCCCCCUGGCCAGCUGGUCCAGGAUGGGCGCUGUGUGCCGAUCUCCUCUUGCCGCUGUGGCCUCCCCAGUGCCAAUGCCUCUUGGGAGCUGGCCCCGGCCCAGGUGGUGCAGCUGGACUGCCAAAACUGCACCUGUGUCAAUGGGUCCCUGGUGUGCCCACACCAGGAGUGUCCAGUCCUUGGGCCUUGGUCAGCCUGGAGCAGUUGCUCGGCCCCCUGUGGUGGGGGCACUAUGGAGCGACAUCGGAGCUGCGAGGGGGGUCCUGGGGUGGCACCAUGCCAGGCCCAGGACACAGAGCAAUGGCAGGAGUGUAACCUGCAGCCCUGCCCUGAGUGCCCCCCUGGCCAGGUGCUUAGCGCCUGUGCCACCUCAUGCCCGCGCCUCUGCUGGCAUCUGCAGCCUGGUGCCAUCUGUGUGCAGGAGCCCUGCCAGCCUGGCUGUGGCUGCCCUGGAGGGCAGCUGCUUCACAAUGGCACGUGUGUGCCUCCCGCUGCCUGCCCCUGCACCCAGCAUUCUCUGCCCUGGGGCCUCACCCUGACCCUGGAAGAGCAGGCCCAGGAGCUGCCCCCAGGGACUGUGCUUACCCGGAACUGCACCCGCUGUGUCUGCCACGGUGGAGCCUUCAGCUGCUCCCUCGUUGACUGUCAGGAGUGCUCCCCUGGGGAAAUGUGGCAGCAGGUGGCCCCAGGGGAGCAGGGGCUCUGUGAGCAGACGUGCCAGGAGAUGAACGCCACAGAGACCCGGAGUAACUGCAGUUCAGCUCGAGCCUCAGGCUGCGUAUGCCAGCCUGGGCACUUCCGCAGCCAGGCAGGCCCCUGCGUCCCCGAAGACCACUGCGAGUGCUGGCACCUCGGGCAUCCCCACCUGCCUGGAUCUGAAUGGCAGGAGGCCUGUGAGAGCUGCCUCUGCCUCAGUGGGAGGCCUGUCUGCACCCAGCGCUGCUCCCCCCUCACCUGUGCUCAGGGCGAGGAGAUGGUGCUGGAGCCAGGGAGCUGCUGUCCCUCUUGCCGCAGGGAGGCUCCGGAAGAGCAGUCGCCCUCCUGCCAGCUCCUCACGGAGCUUCGAAACUUCACCAAAGGGACCUGCUACCUGGACCAGGUAGAAGUGAGCUACUGCAGUGGGUACUGCCCAUCCAGCACCCACGUCAUGCCAGAGGAGCCAUACCUGCAGAGCCAGUGUGACUGCUGCAGCUACCGUCUAGACCCGGAGAGCCCUGUGCGGAUCCUGAACCUGCGCUGUCUGGGUGGCCACACAGAGCCUGUGGUGCUGCCGGUCAUCCACAGCUGCCAGUGCAGCUCCUGCCAGGGAGGUGACUUCUCAAAGCGCUAACAGGCUCCGCUGGGUGAGUCCACAGCCAUCCCUCUUGUGAUUGUGGGACUCAGUGGCACUGACCACGUCCUUCCACGCUCUCCCACCUGCCCCCAACUGGGGGCCCAUGACUUGGCAUUAGCAUGUUCCAAAUAAAGUGACACUGGCAACAA